rnacentral:tRNA from 1 species
AGUGAUGUGGCUUAAAUGGUAGAGUUCUCGCUUUGCAUGCGGAGGUACGGGGUUCGAUCCCCCGGCAUCUCCA